AUUGAACGUUGGCGGCAUGCCUUACACAUGCAAGUCGAACGGUAACAGGUCUUCGGAUGCUGACGAGUGGCGAACGGGUGAGUAAUACAUCGGAACGUGCCUAGUAGUGGGGGAUAACUACUCGAAAGAGUGGCUAAUACCGCAUGAGAUCUACGGAUGAAAGCAGGGGAUCGCAAGACCUUGUGCUACUAGAGCGGCCGAUGGCAGAUUAGGUAGUUGGUGGGAUAAAAGCUUACCAAGCCGACGAUCUGUUGCUGGUCUGAGAGGACGAUCAGCCACACUGGGACUGAGACACGGCCCAGACUCCUACGGGAGGCUGCAGUGGGGAAUUUUGGACAAUGGGCGAAAGCCUGAUCCAGCAAUGCCGCGUGCAGGAAGAAGGCCUUCGGGUUGUAAACUGCUUUUGUCAGGGAAGAAAUCUUCUGGGCUAAUACCCCGGGAGGAUGACGGUACCUGAAGAAUAAGCACCGGCUAACUACGUGCCAGCCGCCGCAGUAA
rnacentral:rRNA from 1 species